rnacentral:snoRNA from 1 species
UCUGAAGAGAGAGGAGAGAAGCCAAGUCUAUGCUCAGUGUCCUCAGGGUUCAUGAAUAUCUGAAUGAUAUGUAGCCUAACAGU